GAUGAACGCUGGCGGCGUGCCUAAUACAUGCAAGUCGAGCGAACAGACGAGGAGCUUGCUCCUCUGACGUUAGCGGCGGACGGGCGAGUAACACGUGGAUAACCUACCUAUAAGACUGGGAUAACUUCGGGAAACCGGAGCUAAUACCGGAUAAUAUAUUGAACCGCAUGGUUCAAUAGUGAAAGACGGUUUUGCUGUCACUUAUAGAUGGAUCCGCGCCGCAUUAGCUAGUUGGUAAGGUAACGGCUUACCAAGGCAACGAUGCGUAGCCGACCUGAGAGGGUGAUCGGCCACACUGGAACUGAGACACGGUCCAGACUCCUACGGGAGGCAGCAGUAGGGAAUCUUCCGCAAUGGGCGAAAGCCUGACGGAGCAACGCCGCGUGAGUGAUGAAGGUCUUCGGAUCGUAAAACUCUGUUAUUAGGGAAGAACAAAUGUGUAAAUAACUAUGCACGUCUUGACGGUACCUAAUCAGAAAGCCACGGCUAACUACGUG
rnacentral:rRNA from 1 species